UACGUAGGGGGCAAGCGUUAUCCGGAUUUACUGGGUGUAAAGGGAGCGUAGACGGCAUAGCAAGUCUGAAGUGAAAGCCCAAGGCUCAACCAUGGGACUGCUUUGGAAACUGUUAAGCUAGAGGGCUGGAGAGGUAAGCGGAAUUCCUAGUGUAGCGGUGAAAUGCGUAGAUAUUAGGAAGAACACCAGUGGCGAAGGCGGCUUACUGGACAGUAACUGACGUUGAGGCUCGAAAGCGUGGGGAGCAAACAGG
rnacentral:rRNA from 1 species